UAUAUAUAUAUAUAUAUAUUGUCGCGUUACAUAAUGCGGUUAGUUAGGAAUACAGUUGUACUAUUCAGGUCACAAAAGUAGCUAGAAGCCGUAUGCUAGUUCAGAACUGCUGUACGUUACAAUGAACAAUUAAAUUUAUUGUCCCCAUCUGCCUUUAAGGUCCCCUAUACACAUCACCCUCUGUAAUGGCAUUUAUACUUACCUCCUGUAACUAUGUUUUGAUCGUCUCCCGUAAGUUUGGGACGUUAAUAUUGAUAAUAAUGAUGAUUUUUGUAGAUAACUGUUAGCGAUAUUGAAAACACAAUCCCUUUACGAAACACAAGUUUGUGGUUGCAUCCACUCUCGAUCUUCAACAGUGGUCCACAUUGGGACAUUAUGUGUGCAAGUUUUUGUGUUUUACUCUAUACCAAGUGCAGUGUUAAAAAAAUUGCUGAGUUUUGAAGAGAUUUGAUUUUGUAACAUAACACACUUACCAGUUUUGAAUAGUCAGUGGUUACUUCUUUUUGCCUGUAUUAAUAUCAUUGAGCAUAUAUUGUGUGGUUUGAAAAAUUAUAUUAAUGGUAAAUGUAGUUAAACUGAUAAGUUAAGUCCAGCAGGGAAAAUGUCAAUGUAUUGUAAGUGGUCAUAAAAAGGACUCAGCUAUAAUGUGCUUCGCCAUAGUUUGAAUGAGAUUUUAACUUGUCGUUGAUCGCCCAUGAUCAUCGAUGUAUGUGCCAACAAGUUUUUUUUAGAGCUUUUACCAUUUUCUGAUUCUUAAAGUGCCAAUGUGACUUCUCAUAUCAUAGAUAUCCUUUAGAUGAUAAGAAAGUAUUUGUUGGAAGCAUUCUCCUCCGGUGUUUCAUUCCAGACAUUGAAGGAGAGUCAAUCUGGUGAAGCCAUUAAUCUGAUAAGUUGCAGAUCUAUAUGAAUUACUGUUGUAAUCGCCUCUUUAUAUUUAAACAUACAAUUCAUCUCCCCUAGUAUAGUACAGGAAAAACUGGCAGUGUUAUUUUGUAUAUUUCAUAAGGAAUAUGGUGUCCUGGUGAAGCUUUGUGCAUUCUUUUAGAAUUUUAUAUGUCUUUAGACCACCAGCUUAAAAGCAAAAUCGAGUAACAACAAUUCAACAGUAGGUAAAGGAGCUAUUCUUGAAGGUAUAGAAAAAGACGCAUAUAUAGAUUAACAUGGAUAAAUAUAUUUUAUGGUGUCAGAUAAUGGAAAAGCCUAAUGUUUUACAUUAUGUUCGAUUUAGACUUUGAUCUUAGAUGUACUGACCUAAUAACAUCCGCAAAAGAGGAAAGCUUGGAAGAAUGAACAUUAAGCGUACCCUGUGGUCAAGAAAAAUCUUACCUAGAAUAUUGGUGGAUCUUGGAAUAUAGAUAUAUAUAUAUAUAUAUAUAUAUAUAUAUAUAUAUAUAUAUAUAUAUAAAGGUUUUUUGCCACGAAGGAAAAAAUGAAAAAGCCGAGUACUUUCGCUUUUUUCCUUUUUCCUUCGUGGCAAAAAACCUUUAUUUAUACAUAGCAUCACGUUUUAUAUACUUCGUGAUCAAGUUAUUCAUAUAUAUAUAUAUAUAUAUAUAUAUAUAUAUAUAUAUAUAUAUAUAUAUAUGUGUGUGUGUGUGUGUGUGUGUGUGUGUGUGUGUGUGUAUUUUGUAAUCUAGAACUCGGCACGCAGGCUGACCUGUUUAGUAUUUCCAGCGAUGACAAACUGAUGUCUUUUAAGAGAAAUAAUUUAGACACUGACAAUGCCAUCUAGUGAGAGAUUAAACUAUUAUAGAAGUUACCAGAAUGUGUUCCAACUUCCAACCAAUUUCCCUUCAACAUCCCAACACUGUGUGGUACUUUCUCCUUCAGUUCAGUCAGUACUAAGUCAACUGUUGCGCCGCUAUUAAUGUUGUUAUUUCGCAGUGCACGUUAUUAUUGCAGUCUGUUCGAGGUUAUAGUGAUUUGCAUGCUGUUGGAAACUUCAGUCUGUUCGGGGCUAUAGUGAAUGUUAGGGCUGCCUUUUACUAGAGAAGUGGAUCAAGCAGUUCCUUUCCGUAACAGAAAAUACAGUUCAUAUUAGCAGCCUGUCCGAAAGCCAAAAAUUAAUAUAGAGGAUAAGAUAAUGAAAUAUUUGUGCUGCUUAGAGAUCAUCAGGCAUAUUGUAGCAAUUGGAUUAUUGUCUCGUUCCUCCAGACUUGCUUCAUUGAUAUUCAGCACCUCCAUAGAUUGGACUGCAAUAUUGGUAUGCCAUGUGACAACAUUUCAAGACUUUCUACAUGUACCGGAUAAAUACCAGUACUGUACAGUGGUUCUGACUGAUUUCCAGUUAGUGCAGUUAUUACCAAGAGAGUCACAGCUGCUCAUUAUUUUUACAUUUGUGACUGGAGCAUGAAAUAAAGACCCACCAACUUCCAGCCUUGAGUAUGAAAAAACUGACUGAGCUGGCCAAGCAGUUAAUAUGCAUAUACCCUGUAGAGGUAGUGCUGUCAGUACACCUCAUUUGGUGCACGUCAGCUUUACU